rnacentral:lncRNA from 1 species
GGCAAACUGAGAGCCAACCUAAUAGCCCGUUUAUUAUAUAUGUGAUGGCUGUUAGAAGACUGUUGAUGAUAUGGCAGAAUUAAAUAGCCCGCUACUGGCUAACUUAUUAAACUUGCUCUAACUCCUCGUUGGUUCUAGCAGUCGACUAGAGUGCAUUUCAACGAUUAACCAUCAUAACCAGUUCCACGUUGCUACGUACGCUAGACCUAAUAAUACUGCCCACGAGUUCACCAACCGUGUUCAAUCGAGAGCAUCGGCCUCCACCGAAAAUAAAUCAUGGAGAGAGCAAAACCGUAUGAUGAACAGGCCCCCCAAGAUGUCACCUCAGAGAAUUUGAAGGAGGGGCCAGGACUGGAAGAGGAGGCAGCAACAUGCCAACGGCGAUGGCAAGCUGCUGGCAUGCCAUCCAUCGGCAUGCCCAAGAAAGGUGACCAGUCUAGUGGCCCUUGCCUGCCUGGCGCUCAUUCCUCGUUGCCCCCACAAUCUCUGCUAAAGCGAAGGGGAGAAAGCAAUCAAAGGAAGCCAAAGCGAUGUGAUGUCGCUGCCCGGCCUUCUCCCUGCUGCGACGGUUGCUUUGAUCCAAUGCAACGUCCAAAAGCAAAAGCAAAGCACAGAAGGAAACAGUGGGAGUGAGAGCAGGCAAGCUGCUGCAUACCGAGACGUUAUUCCAAGCUCGCAUUGAACUGCUCCAAAGAGAUCCCAAAGCACUCGCCUUUCUCGCGCCCCGAUGCGUUCAAAGAUCUCCGCGAGAAAAAAAAACAGAAUGAAAAGAUGGCCAAACACAAUCAUAGCAAUGCCUAGCUUGCAAAUACGAAAAGGAAUUUGUGCAAUUCAAAUCCGGGGCCUCCUACCUCCAUCAUAAAAGGACCACACUGCCUCAGAGCUCAUGGCGACAUUUCCAUCACUUAAGGUCAUUUUCCUUGUCAACAAG